rnacentral:rRNA from 1 species
CGCACCAGGCGCGAAACCUCCGCAAUGCGGGAAACCGCGACGGGGGACCCCGAGUGCCGUGGCAACGCCACGGCUUUUCCGGAGUGUAAAAAGCUCCGGGAAUAAGGGCUGGGCAAGGCCGGUGGCAGCCGCCGCGGUAAUACCGGCGGCCCGAGUGGUGGCCGCUAUUAUUGGGCCUAAAGCGUCCGUAGCCGGGCCCGUAAGUCCCUGGCGAAAUCCCACGGCUCAACCGUGGGGCUUGCUGGGGAUACUGCGGGUCUUGGGACCGGGAGAGGCGGGGGGUACCCCUGGGGUAGGGGUGAAAUCCUAUAAUCCCAGGGGGACCGCCAGUGGCGAAGGCGCCCCGCUGGAACGGGUCCGACGGUGAGGGACGAAGGCCAGGGGAGCAAACCGGAUUAGAUACCCCUGUAGU